rnacentral:rRNA from 1 species
CCGGUACCCGUAGGGUUUAAUCUUGUACCCGUAGAGUUUGAUCGGGGCUCGGAAAGUUUUAACAGGGGUCCCUAAAGCCUAGAAAUCUGCCUGGUAGUGGGGGACAACGUUCCGAAAGGAGCGCUAAUACCGCAUACGUCCUACGGGAGAAAGUGGGGGAUCUUCGGACCUCACGCUAUCAGAUGAGCCUAGGUCGGAUUAGCUAGUAGGUGGGGUAAUGGCUCACCUAGGCGACGAUCCGUAACUGGUCUGAGAGGAUGAUCAGUCACACUGGAACUGAGACACGGUCCAGACUCCUACGGGAGGCAGCAGUGGGGAAUAUUGGACAAUGGGCGAAAGCCUGAUCCAGCCAUGCCGCGUGUGUGAAGAAGGUCUUCGGAUUGUAAAGCACUUUAAGUUGGGAGGAAGGGCAGUAAGUUAAUACCUUGCUGUUUUGACGUUACCAACAGAAUAAGCACCGGCUAACUUCGUGCCAGCAGCCGCGGUAAUACGAAGGGUGCAAGCGUUAAUCGGAAUUACUGGGCGUAAAGCGCGCGUAGGUGGUUUGGUAAGAUGGAUGUGAAAUCCCCGGGCUCAACCUGGGAACUGCAUCCAUAACUGCCUGACUAGAGUACGGUAGAGGGUGGUGGAAUUUCCUGUGUAGCGGUGAAAUGCGUAGAUAUAGGAAGG